CCCUUAGAUGUCCUGGGCUGCACGCGCGCUACACUGAUGUGUCCAGUAAGCACCUAACCUCUUCCGAAAGGAACGGGUAACCUUUGCAAAGCACAUCGUGAUGGGGAUAGAUUAUUGCAAUUAUUAGUCUUGAACGAGGAAUUCCUAGUAAGCACAAGUCAUCAGCUUGUGUUGAUUACGUCCCUGCCCUUUGUACACACCGCCCGUCGCUCCUACCGAUUGAAUGUUCCGGUGAGCUCUUCGGACUGCGCGGACUGCAGUUUCUGCGUUCCGUGCGGAAAGUUGCGCAAACCUUAACAUUUAGAGGAAGGAGAAGUCGUAACA
rnacentral:rRNA from 1 species